rnacentral:rRNA from 1 species
AUACGGAGGGGGUUAGCGUUGUUCGGAAUUACGGGGCGUAAAGCGUACGUAGGCGGACUGGAAAGUUGGGGGUGAAAUCCCGGGGCUCAACCCCGGAACUGCCUCCAAAACUUCCAAUCUAGAGAUCGAGAGAGGUGAGUGGAAUUCCAAGUGUAGAGGUGAAAUUCGUAGAUAUUUGGAGGAACACCAGUGGCGAAGGCGGCUCACUGGCUCGAUACUGACGCUGAGGUACGAAAGCGUGGGGAGCAAACAGGAUUAGAAACCCCAGUAGUCC